rnacentral:rRNA from 1 species
UAGGGAAUCUUCCACAAUGGACGCAAGUUUGAUGGAGCAACGCCGCGUGAGUGAAGAAGGUUUUCGGAUCGUAAAGCCCUGUUGUUGGUGCAGAAGGAUAGAGGUAGUAACUGGCCUUUAUUCGACGGUAAUCAACCAGAAAGUCACGGCUAACUACGUGCCAGCAGCCGCGGUAAUACGUAGGUGGCAAGCGUUGUCCGGAUUUAUUGGGCGUAAAGCGAGCGCAGGCGGAAGAAUAAGUCUGAUGUGAAAGCCCUCGGCUUAACCGAGGAACUGCAUCGGAAACUGUUUUUCUUGAGUGCAGAAGAAGAGAGUGGAAUUCCAUGUGUAGCGGUGGAAUGCAUAGAUAUAUGGAGGAACACCAGUGGCGAAGGCGACUCUCUGGUCUGCAACUGACGCUGAGGCUCGAAAGCAUGGGUAGCGAACAGG